UUUCACUCUUCUUAUGCCAACUUUGUCUUAGAACUUUUUUUUCCUCUCUGCCAUUGGCCAAUUGUUGCUGCCUUCUCUUUGUUCAUUGGUCAAUUAUUUCCCCCCUUUUCAGGGGUGUCACUAAUGCUUAAUUCAGGUACCCCUUUUAGGAAUUGCUUUGUACUUGGAUGUGCACCACUGCACUUCUUUUGUUAUUAGCCAGGGAGAGUGUUCAGUGACUCAUGACAAUUGCACUAGCAGGGGGUUCUUGAGGCUGUAUGUUGUUAGAGGGGGAUGCCUGCAGAAGAAGUUUAAAUUUUAGUUGUCAAGGACUUUUGCAAGUACUCCCCUUCUGUCAUUCCGAUUGCCAAAGAAAAUGGUGUAUUAGUGUUCUAGCCGAGGCUGUUUUGUUUUUAGUGACGCCCAAUGAUAGAACAGGAAACCUCAGCCCUGGUGUCCAUGUUGUGUGGUCGACGGAGUGAUUCCUUUCACCAAAGUGAACAAAUUUUAAAGGUUAGAAUCAGUAAUCUCGAGAAACACAGAGAGGGGAAAAGCUUGACAGUUUCGUCAAAGAAAGAUAAAAGUUAAGAUUGAUCAUGACAGUCACCCUAGAUUUUCAUUGGAAUGGAGGAAUGAAGGAGUGAAGAUUCAAGUGAAUACAAGCCGGCAUUUCUCCAAAGAACUUUGUUUCUGCUUGUUUUGAACCCGACUCCAAUCUCAACUACACACUCCUCGCCCAAAUCCAUCUCUGUAUAAAGGUGUCUGCAUGAGAGGCAAAAUACGCUUCAGCAAAACCGUGCAUCAAAAUGUGCUUCAGAAGACUUUCUACAGAACUUCGUGACUCUAUAUUUACUGAGAUUUAUUAUCAUCAAGGACUUGAGAUGCUGAAUUGCUUAACUUAUUUUUAUUCGACAGAAAAACUCUUCACUUUUCAUCUGCUCGAGAAACAUCAUUUUCACUGGAGAACUUCGCCGAGAUUAACCAAAUCUCAUGCGAGGUUUGUUGAUGGGUCUUUGGUCGGUUGUUCUACCCUUCAUCUGUCGAUUUGAACUCAAUAAUUUGGUGAACAUUUGCGGACAGACAUGUUUGUGGACCUUUGGAAGGAGACUUUUUCACUGGAUCUUGAAAUGGAAAUAUGUUUUUGUGCUUAUGUUGAUUGGACAUGGAUACAGAUGGGAAUGCUGAGACUGAACAAAAGUUCCUGUAUGAGUGAGUCCUUUUACCCGCAGACCAGUACAGCAAUAUCA